AGCCUGUUUAGACUACCCAUUUAAGUGAGUAAAUGUUUAUUUAUAUAAACAUUUCCCCUUUUCUUUUUAUUUUCCCCAAACGUCGAUCACGAACCCGAUUCAUCUCUUCCUCCCCGACUCUUCCUCGCGUUCCCUCUCUUGGCGACCGGCGAUUUUCUCUUCAUCUUCUUGGCGUCGUCGCCGGCACAGAUCAGUCUUGGAGCGAGAAGGAGGGAAGCUUGUCGAGUCUACGGUCUCCAUUCUCCGAUUUCUUCCUUGUCGGCCGAUUCUGCCGAGCCCUAGUUUCUGCUCCGGCGUGGUUGGAGUGAGUUCAGAUCUAGCCGACAUCCUUCGUCUCCUUCUUCCUCUCGCGACACCGAGUAACGCAGUGGCGACCAUUGCUUUGUCUUCUCCUUUGCCCUAGCCGGCGACGGCCGCCCCCUCUGCUGCAACUUGGCAGCACAACCACCACCGGCGAGCCCUUGUUUGCCGACCUCAACAACCUCUUUCGGUGAUUUCGGCUUGGGAAAGAAACUAUUGGCACAUAGUGGCUCCUUGGCAGUGUCGGCAAUUGAAAUUCCAGUGGGUUGUUGUUGUGGAUUGUCCCUGUUGCCGAUCACCACUUCUCCUUCUUGAUCCGAUGGAUUCCAGCAGUACCUAUUUAGUUGCAGUGUUACAUUGAGGAUUGAGGUUGUUAAUCUGUGCAGCUUGAGGCAUGGACUUUGGUUUGAGACAAGACGCUGGAUUUGACUGGAUUGGACCUGCGAUUUGAG